rnacentral:rRNA from 1 species
GACGAACGCUGGCGGCGUGCCUAAUACAUGCAAGUCGAACGCUUCUUUUUCCACCGGAGCUUGCUCCACCGGAAAAAGAGGAGUGGCGAACGGGUGAGUAACACGUGGGUAACCUGCCCAUCAGAAGGGGAUAAAACUUGGAAACAGGUGCUAAUACCGUAUAACAAUCAAAACCGCAUGGGUUUGAUUUUAAUGGCGCUUUCGGGUGUCGCUGAUGCAUGGACCCGCGGUGCAUCAGCUAGUUGGUGAGUUAACGGCUCACAAAGGCCACUAUGCAGAGCCGACCUGGGAGGGGGAUGGGGCACAUUGGGACUGAGACACGGCCCAAACUCCUACGGGAGGCAGCAGUAGGGAAUCUUCGGCAAUGGACGAAAGUCUGACCGAGCAACGCCGCGUGAGUGAAGAAGGUUUUCGGAUCGUAAAACUCUGUUGUUAGAGAAGAACAAGGAUGAGAGUAACUGUUCAUCCCUUGACGGUAUCUAACCAGAAAGCCACGGCUAACUACGUGCCAGCCGCCGCAGUAA